rnacentral:rRNA from 1 species
AACGAACGCUGGCGGCAUGCCUAACACAUGCAAGUCGAACGAGAACUUCUGGUCUUUUGGCCCCCGGGUUCGUAACCCGUGGGGACCUUCCCUUAUGUUUGGAAUAACUCCCCGAAAGGGGUUCUUAUACCGGAUCAUUUCUUCUGACCAAAGAUUUAUCGCCUUUGGUUGGGCCCGCGUUUGAUUAGCUAGUUGGUAGGGUAAAAGCCUACCAAGGCGACGAUCCAUAGCUGGUCUGAGAGGAUGAUCAGCCACACUGGGACUGAGACACGGCCCAGACUCCUACGGGAGGCAGCAGUGGGGAAUAUUGGACAAGGGGCGAAAGCCUGAUCCAGCAAUGCCGCGUGAGUGAUGAAGGCCUUAGGGUUGUAAAGCUCUUUUAACCGGGAUGAUAAUGACAGUACCGGGAGAAUAAGCGCCGGCUAACUCCGUG